CUGCGCGGAACACCCAUCCUCCUGGGUCCUAGGCUGGGACCCGGGCUGUCCGCCAGGGCUGGGAGACACUGGAGGAGGCCGGCCGAUGAUUACGCGCGAUGCCAACGACGACUGCCCUACGGUGGACCGCGGCUGCCCGUGUGCGGAGGAAAGGGAGAGGCGGCUGGGUGCCGGCUGCGCUGCGGUCCGUGAGCCAGGACGGAGUCCCAGGCUGUACAGUGAUGGGCGGAGAGACUCGCAGUCCUGAGAAAUCGGUGCCCCAGUCCCUGGAGGAGCCUCCGCCAACUCCGCAGGACCCCGCCGGGAAGUAGAGCCCACCCCUUUACCAAUCACCGCCCGUUUUCUAUCGACCGAUGGGGCCCAUAGCCAAUAGGAAGAGCUGAUCCCGAGAGGCCCGGAAUGAGGGGGAGGAGCUGGCAAAACUUGGAGGUGUGACUAGCACUGCCGAGGCGUGGUCACAGAUUAAGCUCCACCCCGGGUUGUUGAACCCCUAAGUAGAACUGAUGGGCGGGAUUAAGGUGGAACCGACGACCAAACACAAACUCUUGAGCUAAGGCACGGCCAAUUGGGCCGGGGUAGAGAGGAGGGGUGUUGCGGGGAGUUUUAACCAAUAAAGAGUAGAGACCGGU
rnacentral:lncRNA from 1 species